rnacentral:rRNA from 1 species
CCUACGGGAGGCAGCAGUGGGGGAUAUUGCACAAUGGGGGAAACCCUGAUGCAGCGACGCCGCGUGAGUGAAGAAGUCUUUCGGUAUGUAAAGCUCUAUCAGCAGGGAAGAAAGUGACAGUGCCUGUCCACUUAGCCCCGGCUAACUCCGUGCCAGCAGCCGCGGUCUUACGUAGGGGGCAAGCGUUAUCCGGUUUUACUGGGUGUAAAGGGAGCGGAGACGGUUGUGUAAGUCUGGUGUGAAAGCCCUGGGCUCAACCCCGGGACUGCUUUGGAAACUGUGUAGCUGGAGUACAGGAGAGGCAGGCGGAAUUCCUGGUGUAGCGGUGAAAUGCGUAGAGAUCAGGAGGAACACCGGCGGCGAAGGCGGCCUGCUGGACUGAGACUGACGUUGAGGCUCGAAAGCGUGGGGAGCAAACAGGAUUAGAUACCCCUGUAGUC